CUCUUUUCUUCUCUUCUCUUUUCAUGUAAAAUGGUGAUAAUAAUGCUGUCCCUGUGGAGUACCUGGCAUAUAUAGAUGUUCAAUGCAUACUCUGUUUUUAAUGUUUUUCUAAUUUUUUUUUUUUUUAAUUUUUGAGAGAAAGAGAGACAGAGUGUGAGCAGGGAAGGGGCAGAGAGAGAGGGAGACACAGAGUCUGAAGCAGGCUCCAGGCUCUGAGCUGCCAGCACAGAGCCCGUCGCGGGGCUCAAACCCACCAACUGCGAGAUCACGACCUGAGCCUAGUCAGACACUUAACCCACCGAGCCACCCAGGCGCCCCUGUUCAAUGAAUAUUAAAUACUACUUUUAUUAGUUAUCUAAAAGAAACCAUUCCCUGUUUAUGUUUCAUUCUAACCAUGGUGUUAGGAAAUGGGAAAAAAAAUGUAUAAACAAAACCAAGCCAAAUAAAUGCGGGCUCUUCGCAUCAGUUUGCCCUACCCAUUCUAACUUUUCUCAGAUCUAACUGAUCUCUAUUUGAUAUAUUUCUGAAGCACCCCCUUUUCCCUGCAGCACUGUCACCCCGUGGGAUCUCCGCACGUGUGAGAAAGCUAUGUGCCACACUGAUUAAGAGUGUGGCUGAGUCUGAAUCUUACAUUUUCCUCUUACUGACUUGGGUGCCUUUGGGCAACUUUAUCUGACCACCAGGUACCUAUAAAAAGGGGAUAAUAAUAGUGCCUGUCUCCUGGAGUUGUGGUGAUAAUUUAGUUAAUACCUGUAAAGCACCUGGAACAGUGCCCGGCAGGUAAUAGGUGAUCCACAAAUGCCAGCUAUGAUUAAGUGCUAGCAAUUAGGACUAACAGAAUGCUUGCCCCUUUCUCUCUUCUGAAAGCACCUAUUCAUUCAGGAGGCCUGACUUCCUAUUGUGAGGAUUGCUUUCCCUUGAUCUCCUUUUUUGCUUCCUUCCCAAUCGUCCAGGAAAGAGGGCAAAGUGUUAUGUGGGUACAGCCUACAGCCCCCUUAAGUUGUCACCACAGUUGUCCUGGGUGGCAGUAUUGAAGACCUGAGUGCCAGUGAGUCCCUUCUUGAUUUCCAGUCUGGGCUUCCUCAUUAUUCACAUGAACACACUUCAUUAAAACGGGGUUGUAGUGGACCAUUAAAGGUGCUCCGGUUCUGACAUGGCUACGACUGUCACCUGGGGUUCGAAUUCACAUGGACUUCUCUGUACCCCACGUUAGACUGUCAUCUUCCUGAGGGCAAAGGACCAUAUCCUAACUCCUUACAGUUACAGCAGCUACUACACACCCAGGGACACUCAGUAAACCGCCACCUAACUGAACGGACGGACGCAGUCACAUUCGAAGCAUAGUGCACUAGCCCUCUGUUCGGCAACAGAGGAAACUUCCUAGUUCGUUUUGGGACAAUCGUGGAACUUUAACAUGUGCAGGGAUACUCUGACACAUCUAUUUUCUGUCUUCCUACCUUCUUCCAAGCUUUAUCAUUCUUGCUGGUUCAUUGUCCCCUCAAACAUAACUCGUGUGUUGCUGCCCCGGUGCCUUUACUCUCGCGUUUGCCUUUCCCUCCCUUUCUGCUUGGCUUAGUCUCCACUCAUACCUCCCGUGAAUGUUUCCUUCUCCGUCCCACACAUUCCCCUUCCUCUGACCUCCCGUAGCAUCUGCCGUCUAAACGAAUUAGCUGCCACUUAACAUUCACCACUGCUGUGUGUUCUUAGUUAUCAUUUCACAAGAAAGAUCCCUAACUGGACCUUCAAUUCCUCGAAGCAAUGGCCACGUCUUCCACUCCUGUGCCCAGCAUUGUAGCUCACACUUGGUGCACCAAUAACUAAGUAAUUGUUGCUGGCGCCACUUGGUCUAAACCACUUUAAACAUACUGCAAUGCAAAAUAACAGUACAUGUAGCACCACGGAACAUUAAUUUGUGGGUGAACAGGAAGGUGUGAUGCGUGAAACACAUCAGGACAGAAAUGCAGGUAGAAUUGGAGCUUGAUCAGUUGCUGUUAACUCUCCUGCAUUAGUUUUGUUUGCUGAGUCUUCUUACCGUUGUUCACUUUGGGCUUUGGGGCCGGGGUUGUGGGGUAAGGGCAUUUAACUGCAUGCGAGUCGCAUGCCCUAACAAAUAAAAACCCUACUGCAGAAUUUGUUUAUUUUACCACGAAAGGUUUCAAAACAAAACAUGAGACAACUAGUGCCUCUCUGCCAUCUGUUCUGAAGAAGUGUGGGGAAGGCGUAGACGGGGGUGCAGUGUUAUAUGCACAGUUCCCUCCUCCUCUUCAAACCUUUCAGGAACAUGGUGCUAAUGACCGUGGUGUGGAUAUCACCCAAAUUUACAGCGUGCGGCAAUGUAUCUGAGCGUCUUGAUUAUGACAAAAUUCACAGCUACCAAACCCAAAGCCGCGUAAAGAAUCGUCAACGCGCACGAUGCUGGAAGGUCACGUGAAUUCUUGCUUCGUAUUUGAAAUCCUGGUAGGUGCCUCUUUUAAAACGCAGCCGGAGGGAAAAGCAUUACCAGCCAUCGCUCCAAAUCUCAGAGCAGCCAGUGACCGAGGAUCUUGUGCCGAGGACCAAGGUUGGCCCUGACACCGGACACUCUGCCCCAACUGCCAAGAGCAUCUGGUCCCACGCAUUUUCCUUAGUGUGCGUUCCUUCAUUAAAACGUUUUGUAUCUCUUCCUUGUCUGAAUAUCACCACCUGGGUCGUGCGUCAGCACUGUGUGCAGCUACAUCAGCAGCUUCCUUCACUCAUCACGCCAUUGACAUUGGCCUUCCAUUCUACGUCCACAAGGGAGAGAAGGGAGAGAAGAACGUUCCAUUGGUUGGAAGCUAUGAAAGAACACUUUCACAUGGGUGUGGGCUGCCUCAAGUCACCGGCUGGGCAGGGAGCCCUGGCCUCCCGUUAGCCUCUGCUUGCGUCAGCGCGGCUCCCUGCUUUCCUCACGGCGCGCGCCCCGGGACCGUGCCAUCCACGUGCGGCCGUGAGACCCUUUUGAGGCCGCCUCCUCUCCCCGUCUCCUUGCCACGCGCGGCCGAGCUCCCUUUCGUCCCUCCCUGUUUCGGGGUCACUUCCUCCAGCCUCAGCACCAGCUUCCGGUUUUUCUCUGCUCCAUCCGCGCGGUCUUCCGGGAGCAGCUGAGAGGAGGGACUCCGAGAGGAGGGACUUCCGGCUCCUGUCUCCACGCUCCAGGCGGUCGUCCUUCCCUUCGCGCCUCCCGCCACCUCGCGACCCCCCGCAGGUGGGCUCAGGUGGCAGGUCCCAGGGCGUGUGCGGCGUGAGGAAGGCAGAGUUCCGGCGCCCUCGGACCUUCCAGCGCAGGGCAGGGAGUGUGAGGGCGGACAGGCGAAGGCGCUCGUGCCCGGUGGCGGUGGAGCCACCAAAGAGGAGACAACAGGGGCCGUGAACAGUGCUGCUGGGGACAAUAGGAAUGCGAUUCACUGAAAAGGUCCCGGAAGCAUGAAGGGAAUAGAGUGCCUUACCUUAGAACAGGACUAGUGUUCAGUGAUUUGGGAUUCAACCACCAGUGCCCCCGGCGUUUUGUAAAGCGUUCCCUUUAUAAAAAGCACCCACUUGGAAAGAUCGCAAUAACUGCAGGAAAGCAACAAAAGAGAAAGAAAGUGA